rfam:Azospirillum humicireducens strain SgZ-5, complete genome.
GAUCAAGCGUCUGAAGGGCAUCUGGUGGAUGCCUUGGCACUGAGAGGCGAUGAAGGACGUAGCACGUUGCGAUAAGCUUCGGGGAGCCGCGAGCAGGCUUUGAUCCGAGGAUUUCCGAAUGGGGAAACCCACCGCUUCGGCGGUAUCCCGUACUGAAUCCAUAGGUGUGGGAAGCGAACCCGGCGAACUGAAACAUCUAAGUAGCCGGAGGAAAGGACAUCAACCGAGACUCCGCUAGUAGUGGCGAGCGAACGCGGACCAGGCCAGUCAUUCGAUCUACAUAACCGGAACCGUCUGGAAAGUCGGGCCAUAGCGGGUGAUAGCCCCGUACGGAUAAACCGGAUCGGAUGCUCGAGUAGGGCGGGGCACGUGAAACCCUGUCUGAACGUGGGGGGACCACCCUCCAAGCCUAAGUACUCCUCAGUGACCGAUAGUGCACCAGUACCGUGAGGGAAAGGUGAAAAGCACCCCGACAAGGGGAGUGAAACAGUUCCUGAAACCGGAUGCCUACAAGCAGUCGGAGCCUCUUCAUGGGGUGACGGCGUACCUUUUGUAUAAUGGGUCAGCGACUUAGAGUAUGCAGCGAGCUUAAGCCGGUAGGUGGAGGCGCAGCGAAAGCGAGUCUGAAUAGGGCGACCGAGUUGCAUGCUUUAGACCCGAAACCUGAUGAUCUAGCCAUGGGCAGGUUGAAGGUGCGGUAACACGCACUGGAGGACCGAACUCACGCCUGUUGAAAAAGUCGGAGAUGACCUGUGGCUAGGGGUGAAAGGCCAAUCAAAUCAGGAAAUAGCUGGUUCUCCGCGAAAGCUAUUUAGGUAGCGCGUCGCGUAUUGCCGCGGGGGGUAGAGCACUGGAUGGGCUAGGGGGGCGCGAGCCUUACCAAACCUAACCAAACUCCGAAUACCCGUGAGCAGAGCGCGGCAGACAGACGGUGGGUGCUAAGGUCCAUCGUCGAGAGGGAAACAGCCCAGACCGCCAGCUAAGGUCCCCAAAUCACGGCUAAGUGGGAAAGGAUGUGGGAAGGCCAUGACAACCAGGAGGUUGGCUUAGAAGCAGCCAUCCUUUAAAGAAAGCGUAAUAGCUCACUGGUCUAGUUAAGCCGGCCUGCGCCGAAAAUGUAUCGGGGCUCAAGCCGUGUACCGAAGCUGCGGAUUCAGAGGACAGAUGUCAGACGACAGACGACAAGACGGUUUAGGGGUGCGGAGCGCCGGGUCUUCGUUCGAGGACCUGGAGGUUUUCCGUAAAGCCUACCGGCUGUCGUUGGAAAUACACCAGAAAAGCCUUGGGUUUCCUGCCAUCGAGCAGGGAGCGCUCGCCGACCAGAUGCGGCGGGCCUCCAAAUCGGUGUGUGCGAACCUGGUUGAAGGCUUUUCCAGACAACAGUGGUCGAAAACAGAGUUCAGGCGAUACCUGCACAUCGCGAUCUCGUCGGCAGACGAGAUGAGGCUGUGGUGCCGCUACUGUCUGGAUCUCGGCUAUGUGGACCAGGAAACAUGGCAGACAUGGCGGGACGGCUUCCAGGAAGUUGCCCGCAUGCUCCAAGGCCUGGGCAAAGCCGAACGCCACUGACGUCUGCCGUCUGGCAUCUGUCCUCUGAGUGGUAGCGGAGCGUUCCGUAAGCCUGCGAAGGGUGCCCGUGAGGUCGCCUGGAGGUAUCGGAAGUGAGAAUGCUGACAUGAGUAGCGACAAACAGUGUGAGAAACACUGUCGCCGAAAGUCCAAGGGUUCCUGCGCAAGGUUAAUCCACGCAGGGUGAGCCGGCCCCUAAGGCGAGGCCGAAAGGCGUAGUCGAUGGGAACCACGUUAAUAGUCGUGGGCCUGGCGGAGGUGACGGAUUGGAAAGCGUGUACGAUCUUAUCGGAUUGAUCGUGCUGUGGACCGGUUCCAGGAAAUAGCCCCGCCAUAUAGACCGUACCCCAAACCGACACAGGUGGACUGGUAGAGUAUACCCAGGCGCUUGAGAGAAUGGUGUUGAAGGAACUCGGCAAAUUGCCCUCGUAACUUCGGAAGAAGAGGGCCCCGUUGUGGCGCAAGCCAUGGCGGGGGGCACAGACCAGGGGGUAGCGACUGUUUACUAAAAACACAGGGCUCUGCGAAGCCACACAAGGCGACGUAUAGGGUCUGACGCCUGCCCGGUGCCGGAAGGUUAAGAGGAGAGGUGCAAGCCUUGAAUUGAAGCCCCGGUAAACGGCGGCCGUAACUAUAACGGUCCUAAGGUAGCGAAAUUCCUUGUCGGGUAAGUUCCGACCUGCACGAAUGGCGUAACGACUUCCCCGCUGUCUCCAACACCAACUCAGCGAAAUUGAACUCUCCGUGAAGAUGCGGAGUUCCCGCGGUCAGACGGAAAGACCCCGUGCACCUUUACUACAGCUUUGCAGUGGUGCUAGGGACUUCAUGUGUAGGAUAGGUGGGAGGCUUGGAAGCAUGGGCGCCAGCCCGUGUGGAGCCAACCUUGAAAUACCACCCUUGAAGUCUCUGGCAUCUAACCGUGGCCCGUUAUCCGGGUCCGGGACCCUGCAUGGCGGGUAGUUUGACUGGGGCGGUCGCCUCCCAAAGUGUAACGGAGGCGCGCGAUGGUGGGCUCAGAGCGGUCGGAAAUCGCUCGUCGAGUGCAAUGGCAUAAGCCCGCCUGACUGCAAGACUGACAAGUCGAGCAGAGACGAAAGUCGGCCAUAGUGAUCCGGUGGCUCCACGUGGACGGGCCAUCGCUCAACGGAUAAAAGGUACGCCGGGGAUAACAGGCUGAUGACUCCCAAGAGUCCAUAUCGACGGAGUCGUUUGGCACCUCGAUGUCGGCUCAUCACAUCCUGGGGCUGGAGCAGGUCCCAAGGGUUCGGCUGUUCGCCGAUUAAAGUGGUACGUGAGCUGGGUUUAGAACGUCGUGAGACAGUUCGGUCCCUAUCUGCCGUGGGUGUCGGAGUUUUGCGAGGAUCUGUCCCUAGUACGAGAGGACCGGGAUGGACAUACCUCUGGUGCACCGGUUGUCACGCCAGUGGCAUGGCCGGGUAGCUAAGUAUGGACGGGAUAACCGCUGAAAGCAUCUAAGCGGGAAACCCACCUCUAAACCAGAGCUCCCUUGAGAGCCGUGACAGACCAUCACGUCGAUAGGAGGCAUGUGGACGGGCAGCAAUGCUUGAAGCUAAGCCUUACUAAUCGCUCGAUCGGCUUGAUCUC